UUGACUAAAAAUAAGACAAACAGACUUGGUAAGAUUUUGAGUUUUUGCAGUGCAGAUACAACGAAGACAAACUGGAUCCGUGUAUUCAGGAGAAUCGACAUAACAAGUGCAUUGCCAGUAUCAACUCUGAGGAGACUCUCCAUCCUUCGGGGCUUAUACCGUCUGAGAGAAAGAAAAAAGAGGCAGGAUCUAACCUUGUUAUUGUUGCACGAUCAGCUGUCUGAGCUGGUGUGCUUCUGACCUUCUGUAUGUUGGUACAAUUUUUCCUCCACAUAACCCACUAAUCUUGCUUUGUAGUGCAGCUCUCCGUUGGUCAUAUCCAGGCUUUCUUUUCAUUUUGUGGCUUCACUAAACCGAACAAACACCAUCAGGCCAGGCGGUCACACAGACCUGGAUAUGAGCUCGUUAAGCCAGUCCAGCUUCUGAGUCCCACUGUGGGCCUGUUCACAUUAAAGAGGUUGAUCAGCAGGGACACGCAUCAAGCAGAGCAAACUGUAAUCUUAAACCAAUACAAGGCGUUUUAAAAUAUAUUACAAGUUUAAAGCAACACAGCAAGUCAGGAAGGAAAGCUGCAAAAAGCUGCAGACUCUCUGAACAGAUCAUUAACAGACUCACAUCAGCGUCCCAGUGUGUAGGUUUAUUAUUCAAGAUUCCAUUAAAUUAUCAUCAUAUAUCACAAGAUCAGAUGCAGCGCCUUCAUUCUGCUCACAAAAGAAGAGAAAUUACUUCGAGUAUCAAUAAUAAAGCAAUGAAAGUGAGACUAUUUUGUGGUGAAAUGCAGAAGAUGAAUUCAGAAACCUCACAUUCAGCCUCGUUCUUCAGGUCCCUAAGAUGGUUUCAGUUCUUUUAGCUGCAGCCUUGGAGUUGGUAAAUGGUUUUAGGAACAAAUGCAGAGCAAAUAUAAAACCUUCAUUCAGACCGACGAUGAGACUCACUGCAAAUAUCAUGAGGUCGAGAAGUCAGCUGAAGGUGUUUGGAUCAGUUUCAGGAAACCAUCGCUUCACGAAGGCCGAUAGAACAAAGAAACAGCUUUGAAAUCACUCAGAGUUUAACCAGUUUCUGUUUCUAAAGUUUUUUUUUGUCAGUAAUUGAUGAUUAACCCUGAACAUUUUAGAAGCUGCUUGCACAUCUUGCACAUACAUUUUUGCGCUGGACAUGACUAGCUCUAUUAGUUUUCCACAAACAGUCCUUAAAACAGUUUAACAAACUUUUGAAUUACGGCAAAAAAUGCACAAUAGCUCCAGUUCUGCUCUGGUUUCUGUUUCCUUUCAAAAAUAAGAAAACUUGGCCAACUAGCGUCCGUCCUUCUCGUUUGUUCCUAAUGUUCGGCUGCUUCUACAUAUGAUAAUUAAAAAAUACUUCUUUAGUUCCUUUCCUGUCAUGCAACUGUUCUUUUCUUUCUCCAUCAGCUUGCAGUGGUUUCUAAUGAGCUCUAAACUCGUCUUUUUAACAGAACACGAGGCUGUGUGCAGCUACAGUGUGUUAUCUAUCAGCCAAAUUCGCGAUUCCUUUCAUUUUUCUUCUGCUGCUAGACUCCCAGAAAUGUUUCCUCUGCUCUCUAACUACCUGCAGACUAAAUACACCUCUUGUUCUCUGACUUGUUGAGAGAUUCGAGUGCCUGUUCCUUUCUCUUGAACCCUCAUUUUCCAGUUCCGUGUCUCCUCGCUGAACCUGCAGCACAUUUUUCCAGUCGCAAACAAACAUCUCGGUCUAAAUUGGGAGCUCAUUAGAGUCUCACACAUCCACUCAGAGAAGGGAAAAGGCGAGACAUUAUGAAUUGAUUUUCUCUAUAUCUGGACUAUAAAAGGCGAGUGCAUUAGCAUUAGAGAAGAUGAACGCUGCGUUUGAGACCAGCGGAGGGGUGAGAGUGGUGCUGAAUUAAACAGACAUGUUUAACAAGCUGUUAACAACUCUCACCAUUCUGCUCUCUCUCUCUCUUUUUUUCUCCUCUUUUUGGUGCAAGUAGCAAAGACAGAAAGCAGCCGCGUCCUGAUCGGGUGUCCCACGAGGGAGGAGUUCGCCGUGGAGAGGUGGUGACAGUUCACACGGAGAUACUGGAGAGGAGGCCUUAGGAGACAGAAAGCAGAGGCCCUUUGUCUCACAGCUGGGGAAAGUGUGGCUCAAAGCUGUUUAAAUGUUAUGGCGGACAGGAAUGGUUCUUAUGAGCCCCGGGUCCGGAGUGCACAUUACAUGUUAAUGACUUGGAACACAGACAGUCGAGCAGAGGCUCAAACUGCCAAUUAAGCAUAUGCUGCAGACGCCACUGGUGUUCACACACAACCAUCUGAUAGCGCUCAAGCUUGGCCUGCAGAUCUGAAUCUCUCCACGGGACAUGGAGGCACUCCAAUGAAGUUGUGCAGAAAUGAAGCCCUACAGACAUGAUGGUGGAGGUGUUUUUGCUGCUGUAUACUGCUGCAUAUUUCUAACAUCUCACCACUGAGGCUUCCAGGAUGCUGCAGUACAUCUGGUGGCUUCACUGACACUUCAUUUUAAUUCACCUCUCACAAUGAAAACAUUACAUCUAGAGGUAACUGCAGUGGCGGCCGCCGCUCUGCUGCCACUGUCACAAUCAGAGUCAUCACUUUUUCUGUCACAGGUAAAUUGAAGUGUGCAUACGUUGGUUUUCUCCUGGCGCUGAGCUGGGAUUUUCUGUGUCAGAAUGUCAUCUGAAAGCAUCACGGCUCCUUGGACCAGACCCGGUGCUUUUGCUAGCCUUUCACCGAAGACUGAUUGAUUGAAGAUUCCAGCUUGGAGUGAUGGAAUAAUUAGGGAAUCAGAUUUUGAUGUGCUGCGACAGAACACCUCCGGGGCUCUGCUACAUAUCAGACCCCGAUGUCAUCUUCAGCGCUGCCAGAUGGACGAUAACUGCAGAAUUUAUAGGAUAAUUGCACCUUUUGUAUGAUUUGCAAUCAAUGAUCCCGUGGUGUAUUAGAAUGUCACGGUAUUUUUACACUUAAUAUUAGCAGUUAUAAUCACUCAAAGCUGCUUCGUUUCCAAGUUGAAGCUGGAUGAGACACAACUUGUGAUUUCAUGUUUUUCCCGUUACCUUGAGUUCACUGAAUAGCUUCGCUUCAGAUGUCAGUGUUUGGAUAUUUUCAUGUCAGUGAGCCCCAGGAGAUUUUCCUUCCAUAAACAAAGGUUCCCUCCACUGACAUCAGUGAGACAAUUUAUGUUUUAAUAACUACAGAAGCAUCAUAAGGAAGAAACUUAAAGAGUCUGGAAUAUUUCUGAGCAUGUAAGCAGGUCGACCUUUUUGUUUUCCUGUUUACUUGAUUGUUUCUUUUGCUUUUCCUUUCCAUUACAACAAACAAAACAGCAAAUAUCUGUAAAAUACUACUAUUUUUAUCUUAAUUUAAUACAGUAAAGCAGUGUAAUUGUACGGUAACAUGUUGUAAAAGAACUGUUUGUAAAAAUAAAAAGUUAUGACAUGGAUGCUAAAAAAAAAGAGAAGAAAACAAAAAGAAUCUUGAUUAGAAAUCUUUAAUUCUGUGAAGCCAGAAGUGGCAUUUACAUGACAGAUGUCCGACUUCUCCGAUCGUCUGCUUUGUAACAGGAGUGUCACAGUCCAGCUGUGGUCCCCUGCCUGUCUCUCGGCUCCGCGGCUCAUCAGAGCAGCUGCAGAGGGACCACAGCUGGAGCUGAUCAGCAAUCAGCAGCACAUAAAGCCUGGCUCACCUUAUCACUCAGUGCUGGGCCAUUGCCUGUGAUGCAUCUGUCUGGAUUGGCUCUGUCAUUGCUGUGCCUGCUUUCCGUCCCUGCUAUUGCUGGCACUCUACCAAGCUCUCUGCUCCGGUUCCCCCUCAGCUCUGGAUCUCCCUGCCUGCUCUGUCCUGCCCAGCCCAGCUCUGGGGCUCUCCCUGCCUGCUCUGUCCCGGUAGUCUUUCCCACCCCUCUGUCCCUGCCCCGACUCUGCCACCGAUCCCCGUCAGCUCUGUUCCUACCUCGGCUCUACAGCCACCGGCUUGGUCCCCAGAACUUCCCCACUGUCCUCGCCUUGGCUCCCGGUCCCUGGACUUUUAGUUGUAAGUCUUUCUGUUAGUUCCUUAGUCUAGCCCAUGUAGUGGUCGGUUUUUGUUCCUUGCCUUUGUUUCGUUGGAGCCCUGCCUUAGUUUUAUUUAGACUAUUCCCCGUAUGGGAUUUUGGUGUGCUUUUGCUUUUGUCAUUAAAUCUUGGUUCUAGCAUCUGCCUGUCUCAGAGUGUCUGCUUUUGGGUUCGAAACCCUCGCAUCCUAACAAGGAGGGGAAAAAACACUUUCUUUACCUUAUGUUGGGGCAAAGUUAUGAAACACUGAAUUAAUUUUAGCAUCUGGGAUUCUAUACUUUAGCUGUUACCCAUGAUGCAGUUCACUAAACAGUGAAUCAAGCAUCUUUUAGUGAAUUCUCAGCUGUAAAUUUUGUCCACUGUCCAGCGCAUUACCAAACUGCUUAUUCAGUCAACUUACACCAUCGUUUAUUGUAUUCUGUCUUUCGGUUCUAAGAAAAAGACGAAAGGCUGCUUCCUGAAGUGAUUCUCCCGUUGAGAUUGCCUGGUGAGAAUUUUACUCAGACGUCUCUGAGCAGCAGGAUUUAAAUUAUUAUUAUUAAAAUGCCUACUCCAACCAUGUUUAAAACCUUAGAGACUCAGCGAUACUUUGUAAGCAGCUGUGUUGUGAAAUAUUUGCACCAGAGUUAUAAGAAUGGAGCGACUGCUGCAUUAACAACGAGAAAAGCGAUCAGAGUGCAGUACUGUGCCAAGGCUGCUCAGGUGAUGUAUCCUUUCUGACAGACAAAAUAUUUAAUAAAAAAUGACCUUGUGCGUGUUAUGUAUGGACACCGAAUUGCAUGUAAAUUACUCUAAUAAAGGUCUGUUGAUCAGUUCA